rnacentral:tRNA from 1 species
GAGCCACUUACAGUAGUGAAUGCAUACAUUUCAUAAAUGUUUUAUUUUUUUUUGUACUGGCCCCCCGUGGGAAUCGAACCCACCACCCUGGCGUUGCGCACACCAUGCUCUACCACUGAGCCACAGGGAAGACCGAUUGACUGCAUUUAUUCCAGACACAGGUUAAGAUGAAGAGGGAGGGGGGAACCAGCGAAGAGGGAGAAGAUAAACUGUCUCUGUAGAAUGGCUACCAAGAGAGGGGAGCGAUCCAAGAAGAUCCAUUAAGACGGUGACAAACCUGUGAUUGGUGUUAUAGUUUAAAGAUAAUCGUCUUGUGUUCCUGUGUCAUCUGAAGAAGAUGUGUUUUUCUUCGGGAGAUUCUCAUUGAUUGUGUUGGAGUGUUUGUAUCGUCAGAAAUCUCUCAACAGAGAACUGUGUUCAAUCAAGAAAACCUACUCGUGACUCGUUUAUUCCACCUUUCUGCUUUAGAGUGACACCAAAUUACUUGGUCCGCUCACACUAUAUAUAUUUUUUCAACCUAGUUUAGGUCGAUUUUUAUAGAGGGUUACAUAAAUGAAUAUGUUUUCAAGCUGCACCCAUUGCUUAUGUAAUUAUGUGUCCUUACCAAUCCACAUGCAUGUAUAAGGAAUGACAGAUAUAACUAGGUUUCAUGAUUUAAAAUGCAUGUUAAAUAUAUAACAAUUAUUAAAGUAGAAGAAAGUGAAUAUACUUAAUUUUUUGAAUAUACAUUAUACAUCACAAAUAUUUUAUUUCAAUAUUGUCAUUCAUCUAAGCGUAACUUAUUUGCAUUAGUCGUAUGUGUCUUUGUCACGGUUGUCGAAGGGUAAAGACCAAGAUGCAGCGGGAAAAUAUAUACUCAUCUUCUUUUUAUUUGGUGAAGAAGGGAAACACAAACGUAUACAAAAACACAAACGAACUGGACAGUCUUGUCAGGCACACAGCUAAACAAGCACAAUCUCCCACCAACUAACAGGUGAAAACAGGCGACCUAAGUAUGACUCUCAAUCAGCAACAACGAUGUACAGCAGUUCCUGAUUGAGAGCCACACCAGGCCAACACAGAAAUACAACACUAGACCAGCCCCCUAGAAAUACAAUACAAGAACAUACCCAACAACCCGGAACACCUAAAUCAAACACCCCAUCUUACAUAAAUACAUAUCUAAUAAACCCUGAACCACUUAAAUAAAUACCAUUUCUACAUAGAUAUACCACUAAACCCAGAAACACUCUACACAAAAUAACCC